GAUGAACGCUGGCGGCGUGCCUAAUACAUGCAAGUCGAGCGAACGGACGAGAAGCUUGCUUCUCUGAUGUUAGCGGCGGACGGGUGAGUAACACGUGGAUAACCUACCUAUAAGACUGGGAUAACUUCGGGAAACCGGAGCUAAUACCGGAUAAUAUUUUGAACCGCAUGGUUCAAAAGUGAAAGACGGUCUUGCUGUCACUUAUAGAUGGAUCCGCGCUGCAUUAGCUAGUUGGUAAGGUAACGGCUUACCAAGGCAACGAUGCGUAGCCGACCUGAGAGGGUGAUCGGCCACACUGGAACUGAGACACGGUCCAGACUCCUAAGGGAGGCAGCAGUAGGGAAUCUUCCGCAAUGGGCGAAAGCCUGACGGAGCAACGCCGCGUGAGUGAUGAAGGUCUUCGGAUCGUAAAACUCUGUUAUUAGGGAAGAACAUAUGUGUAAGUAACUGUGCACAUCUUGACGGUACCUAAUCAGAAAGCCACGGCUAACUACGUG
rnacentral:rRNA from 1 species